AUUUAUUCGAAGGGAGUGACUGGGGCUUUGGAUGCGCCGACAGUGAAGCACUCUUCAAUUUAAGCUUAAGAUUUUGAUUGUUCAGAGGCUCUACGCGAAGGGAAGACAUUGGUUUAAUUGUUCGUGACACUCGCUCGGCAUCGAGAGUACGAUCCAGGUUCCAGUUCUACACCCCGUGGCUGAUGCGCGAGGGUGAUAUCUUUCAGUCAUUCAGGGUGAGCUACUUGGUCGUCUGUGGCCCCUGAAGGACCUCCUCUAUUUAUUUUUGUUUUUGUAUUCGACAGACAAUAUGUAGCCUUCGGGUAUUUUCAGACUUCUAUUCCGUACCAUGUUAGCGCUCUUGUACCCUUUGACCACUUUUUGGGAUUGUCGUGACAUUUCUAGUUAUGAUAAGUAUUUAAGACUUGAUAACUUAUUCUUAUUAAAUUUUCCGCUUAUUUAACCUGUCAAUAGUAAUGUGGUUCGCCUACUCGGAGUGAUAGUGUAGGUGCCACCACGACUCGCGAAUUGGGUCGUGACAGACAACCAUAUAGUAUGUGGCUUACAAGAACAUUAGGUUUUUAUAUAAAAAAAAUGAUAUGUAUUUUUAGCUGUUAAGUUGAAAAAACAUUAUGUAUUUGUAAAAUACAUAGUUUACAGAUGUUAAUGAUGUCAAUAUUUGAAGGCCACUUUUUGAUAUUCAAUGAAAUUUUCUUGUUUCUGAAUAGUAUGUUCAACAAUUAAAUAAUUGUCAACAUUAAUAGUAAUCUUAAAAAAAAAAAAAACUGCACAUUCAUUUCACAAAAUUAUAAUCCAACAUCAAUCUAAUACAUCUAAAACAACAAACUAGCUACUAAAGAAAAAAAAGAACAAAAAUAUCGUUUAUCCUAACAUAAUUGUUCAAACAUCAUGAACAUCAACAGUGUUGUAAUCUAUCUCAGUCCUAAUUGGUCUUGGUGGAACCUCACUAUCAGUCUCAGCAUUGUUGGCCAACUUGGCUUCGGCGUAUCUCGACAAAAGAGUGCCAUAUCUCAUACGCAGCAUAUGUGCAUCAAUAUUAUCUGGCAUACUCCCAGCCGUUGGAGGAUGUUUCAACAUGAAUUUAGAUCCCUGAAAACAUAAUUAAUAAUAUGAGAACAAAUACACAUCGUACACUAAAAAAUACAUAUGACGGAAUAUUAAAAAAAACACAAAAAAAUAAAUAAAUUACUGGUUCUUAAAAUUUUAAAAAUACAACACAAAAAUAAACAUACAUACUUUAGAAAAAAUGUUCCCAUAAGAAGCAAGUUAAAAAAACAACCCAAAAUACAUAAAUAACAAAACAUAUAUAUUUAGACCUAAGUUUUAUUUCCAGAAAAAUAGACAUACAUAUAAUGAAAAAUAUCUGAGAAAAUACUGGAUGUCAACAAAUACACAAAUACACAAUAAAAACUGAAAAAUACAACAUCUAUCUCGCAAAAACAUACAAGUCUCACAACUAAAAAAAUCAACACAUACAUUCAUAUAGAUUAACGUAUGUGUUUAAAACAUAAAUAUAAACUGAAAAUAUGAUAAAUCGGCUCAACAUGAAAAUCAAAAAAAGAAUAAUCAAAACAUACAUUCAUAAAAAAUUAUGUAUGCGUUCAAAUACAUAAUCAAAAAAUAAAAAAAAAUUGACAAAAUACUUGAUUCUUCACUGAUAAUUUUGCUGUUGGUAAAUCUUCAUCAACAACAACAUUCUUCCCCUUUUUAGCAUAAUCAACUCCAGAUGUAUUUCUCCUCUCUGAUGUUGUAACAGAAGCUUUUUUCAGUCUCAGAAAUACAUAGUUGAAGACUCGCUUUUCUCUUAGGAUCAUGUAUUUUCUUUGAUCUAAUCUCAGCAUAUUCUUUCUCAGCAGAAGCUGAAUCAACAUUGAUUUUUUUGUUGAGAAAUACCCAAAUCAAAGGUCGGAAAAUCUAAAUUUUGAACACUAUGUGUUAUACCUCUAGUUACUCUCCUAUUAGGUGUGGUUUGAUCAGCCAUUAGAAGAAUGAUUUAGUGAUUAACACCUGAAAAUUAAACUUUGAUUUAAGUUAAAAUUAUAAGAACAGUAACAUUAAAAAAUGAAAAAUACACAAUAUAUAUAAAAAUACUUACACAAAUACACAACCACCCGAGAAUU